rnacentral:tRNA from 1 species
GCCCGAGUGGCGGAAUGGUAGACGCAGCGGAUUCAAAAUCCGCCGCCCUUGCGGGUGUGAGAGUUCGACUCUCUCCUCGGGCACCA